GAUGAACGCUGGCGGCGUGCCUAAUACAUGCAAGUCGAGCGAACAGACGAGGAGCUUGCUCCGCUGACGUUAGCGGCGGACGGGUGAGUAACACGUGGAUAACCUACCUAUAAGACUGGGAUAACUUCGGGAAACCGGAGCUAAUACCGGAUAAUAUAUUGAACCGCAUGGUUCAAUAGUGAAAGACGGUUUUGCUGUAACUUAUAGAUGGAUCCGCGCCGCAUUAGCUAGUUGGUAAGGUAACGGCUUACCAAGGCAACGAUGCGUAGCCGACCUGAGAGGGUGAUCGGCCACACUGGAACUGAGACACGGUCCAGACUCCUACGGGAGGCAGCAGUAGGGAAUCUUCCGCAAUGGGCGAAAGCCUGACGGAGCAACGCCGCGUGAGUGAUGAAGGUCUUCGGAUCGUAAAACUCUGUUAUUAGGGAAGAACAAAUGUGUAAGUAACUAUGCACGUCUUGACGGUACCUAAUCAGAAAGCCACGGCUAACUACGUG
rnacentral:rRNA from 1 species